rnacentral:rRNA from 1 species
UACGUAGGUGGCGAGCGUUGUCCGGAUUUACUGGGCGUAAAGGGAGCGUAGGCGGACUUUUAAGUGAGAUGUGAAAUACCAGAGCUCAACUUGGGUGCUGCAUUUCAAACUGGAAGUCUAGAGUGCAGGAGAGGAGAAUGGAAUUCCUAGUGUAGCGGUGAAAUGCGUAGAGAUUAGGAAGAACACCAGUGGCGAAGGCGAUUCUCUGGACUGUAACUGACGCUGAGGCUCGAAAGCGUGGGGAGCAAACAGGAUUAGA